AUGCUAAAUGUGUUAAGGUUGAGUUGGUCUUAUAAGUUGGAGGUUGUCUGUGAAAGUUAUAAUUAUCAGAGGGGCUUAUGUGUAGAAGUCUGAGAAGUUUGAGGACUGUGAUCAUCUGUGGGCUUUUAUCAGGGUCUUGUGCAUAACUUAUUAGACUAGAAGGUAUGGGGCCGGCUUAGGCCCGGCGAGGCCCGGCGCCGGUCCCCCACACCGCCCCUCCCGGCCCGUCCCGGCCCGUCCCGGCUUGACCAGCAACCCCCGGCCGUUCUUGCCGGCCCUCCUUCUCAUUCCUUCUCUCACAUAUACCUAUACAUACAUACAUAUAUAUACACAAAGGGGUUCAUCCCCCACCCCCAUAGGUCCAUCCCCUCCAAGCCACUCCUACGUAGCGGUGACGUGGCGGCCCAUCCUUGGAGGACUUGCCUCCUCCAUAUCUUCCAGUCUUAUUAAAAAGGGUAUAUAAGUGGGGUGAUUCUAUUUACACCUAACUUUUUCCUAUUUGAAUCAAGUGAUGUGAUAUUUUUAUUUGUGUUUUUCUUGUAUAACUUCCGAUAUACAAUGUUUUGUUAAAAAAAGAAUAUGGUUUUGUGAUGUGCUUAUUUUUACCUACGUUUUGAUAUAAAUUUUUAUGAAAAACGGAAUAUAAAAUUUUAUAACGACUAAUAAAACAUUAUAUUUAUACGGCUCCAUUUCUUAUAAAAUUUAUAUGAAAACUUAGAUAAAAAUAAGCACAUUGCAAAAACACAUUCGUUUUUUAAUAAUAAAUUAUAUAUCAGAAGUUAUAAAAGAAAAAUACAAAUAUAAAUUUUUUAAUGUAACAUUAUUGGUGCAAAUAGCAAAAAGAUAGGUGUAAAUAGUAGGACCAUAUAGGUGAACCCUAAUGUUCAUUGUGUUCAUUCUCCUUUGUUGUUGAGUUUGUUAUUCUUUCUGGUUAUUAUUAGAGAGUUGUUGAUC
rnacentral:lncRNA from 1 species